rnacentral:lncRNA from 1 species
UUUUGUUUGUGCUCUUCUUCAUCCAUUGUAUCACAAAUUGUUCCACCUCUAGUCUCCGGUAAUCCCACCAACGGGAGCCCGCAAAUUCCUAUCACCAACCCGAAUACCCCGAACGAUAUGAAGUUAUUUGUCCUCCCAGCGGCCACGAGCAGUGGGCUGAACACCCCCCCAAACACCAGUGCUUGCCUCACCAUUGAUAUUGCCGAGUUCCUCACGCAUGUGGGAAACAGCUCUAAUGUGUAUAUCAGUGACAUGUUGAAGGCCGAGCAGGCACUGAAGAAGGAUAUCAGCUCCAUUGCUAUCUGUAAACUUGGCGACACCUUCCCCACCACCACACACAACACGCUGCACACCCCGCUUAAUAUUGUGAAACCCAACAAUGAGUCUUUCCUUUUCAUUUUCCCUAUAAGGAAGAAUGUAAUGAGUGACGCUGGCAACUCGGAUAAGGCGUUUAAUGUGACGCCCAAAUAGAGAUUGACGGAUAGAUUUCCAAGGCCUAAUGGCAUGCCGUAGUACACCAUCCCAAUCCCAAAACCUCCCACCAUCACGGCCGCUAGCCUUUUUGCCGCCCACCUCUUGUUCAACAGUAUCUUGAUUGUGGAGUAAAUAUCUACAUUCCAUGAUUCCUGCUCGAUUAGGACAUUGGAGAAGCUCAUUGUUAUGGGACUUUGAUUAGCCUGAGCCAUGCUCUUGAGUGUUAACACUGCUUCUUCUUUGCGUCCUCGGACGAACAGCCAUCUUGGGGACUCAUGAACUAAGAAAUGAACUAAUAUACAGUACAAAAUUGUUGGAACCGAAAUCCACAGAUACAGUGUUCUCCAUGAAGAACCU